UAUAAACCGUGUGUUUCUGUGUUUCAGGCAAUCAAUAGUGUUUUUGAGGCUAAUAUUAGCUAUCUUUUAGCUAUUUGAAACUGAUAGGAAUGGAUUACGCUGCAAAAAUAAGGAGAACCGGUAUGCUGUACAGGCGUCGUACUAGAGUGGAACGAACCUUUGCGAACAUCGAUCUGGCAACAGCUCUUUGAUUUAUUCUUCGCUGUAUGGUUAUUCCGGCACCAAAGGAUGGACAAAGCAACAAUUUCUGCGAAUCUUUGCACUUGUAUGUUCAACCAAAAUAUUAUCUCCGAACCAAUCCAUGCAACAGAAAGAGAAU